UGGACAAAAUGCUUUGAAAAGAAAGAGCUUUUUCUUCUUCAACAUCUUCCAGAGCUUCGAUGGCCUUGUCAAUUGCUAGAGAAAUUGGAGAAAGGGCAUGAAGGUUGUGUGAUAUCCACUUGGACGUUCAACCUCUCACAAACGUCAUGAAUUCGACACCAAUGAAGACUUCUUCAGCUUCAACCUGCUCCGACUAACACCAGCUCAAAUAUUGAGAUCAAAGAACUAAUACCACUACAUCAACCCCUGAAUCUGAAAGGUUCGGGCCGUUGAGGAUUCAAGUUUACUUCUCAAGACACUUGGAGUUGCUUCCCUAAGUUGGUGAGUCCUCAAGUCCGAGGACAAGACCCUAUGAUCUAGCUUUUAUGUUUAGUUCUUUGCUUAUGUUUAAAGACAUUGUUGUACUUCCUAUUUUCAAGACUUCUUAUUGAUGUAAGGGCUAAGUCCCAUUUUCGAUACUUCUAUGUCUAGAUGGUGCAU